AGUGAACGCUGGCGGUAGGCCUAACACAUGCAAGUCGAACGGCAGCACAGUAAGAGCUUGCUCUUACGGGUGGCGAGUGGCGGACGGGUGAGGAAUACAUCGGAAUCUACUUUUUCGUGGGGGAUAACGUAGGGAAACUUACGCUAAUACCGCAUACGACCUACGGGUGAAAGCAUGGGAUCUUCGGACCUUGCGCGAAUGAAUGAGCCGAUGUGGGAUUUGCUAGUUGGCGGGGUAAAGGCCCACCAAGGCGACGAUCCGUAGCUGGUCUGAGUGGCUGGUAAGCCACACGGGAACUGAGACACGCUCCAUACUCCUACGGGAGGCAGCAGUGGGGAAUAUUGGACAAUGGGCGCAAGCCUGAUCCAGCCAUACCGCGUGGGUGAAGAAGGCCUUCGGGUUGUAAAGCCCUUUUGUUGGGAAAGAAAAGCAGCAGGUUAAUACCCCGCUGUUCUGACGGUACCCAAAGAAUAAGCACCGGCUAACUUCGUG
rnacentral:rRNA from 1 species